rnacentral:rRNA from 1 species
AGCGAACGCUGGCGGCAGGCCUAACACAUGCAAGUCGAACGGACCCUUCGGGGUUAGUGGCGGACGGGUGAGUAACACGUGGGAACGUGCCUUUAGGUUCGGAAUAGCUCCUGGAAACGGGUGGUAAUGCCGAAUGUGCCCUUCGGGGGAAAGAUUUAUCGCCUUUAGAGCGGCCCGCGUCUGAUUAGCUAGUUGGUGAGGUAAUGGCUCACCAAGGCGACGAUCAGUAGCUGGUCUGAGAGGAUGACCAGCCACACUGGGACUGAGACACGGCCCAGCCUCCAACGGGAGGGAGCAGUGGGGAAUCUUGCGCAAUGGGCGAAAGCCUGACGCAGCCAUGCCGCGUGAAUGAUGAAGGUCUUAGGAUUGUAAAAUUCUUUCACCGGGGACGAUAAUGACGGUACCCGGAGAAGAAGCCCCGGCUAACUUCGUGCCAGCCGCCGCGGUAA